rfam:Oryza glumipatula chromosome 6, whole genome shotgun sequence.
AAUAAGUGCAGCCAUGAAUUUCCGCGUCCAACUUUGAUCGUCCAUCUUAUUUAAAAUUUUUUUAUAAUUAGCAUUUUUGUUGUUAUGAGAUGAUAAAAUAUGAAUAGUACUUUACUCGCGGCUUAUGUUUUCAAUUUUUUUCAAAAAUUUUUCAAAUAAGACGAACGGUUAAAGUUGGACGAAAAAACCAUGGCUGCACUUAUU